CCCCUAGAUGUUCUGGGCCGCACGCGCGCUACACUGAACAGUUCAACAAGUCUUAACCUUGGCCGAUAGGUCUGGGUAAUCUUUGAACGCUGUUCGUGAUUGGGAUAGACCUUUGCAAUUAUGGGUCUUCAACGAGGAAUUCCUAGUAAACGCAAGUCAUCAGCUUGCAUUGAUUACGUCCCUGCCCUUUGUACACACCGCCCGUCGCACCUACCGAUUGAAUGGUCCGGUGAAAUCUCGGGACGGCGGCUUGGUCGCUUGCGUCCGACUGCUGAAACUUGAUUAAACCAUAUCAUUUAUAGGAAGGUGAAGUCGUAACA
rnacentral:rRNA from 1 species